rnacentral:rRNA from 1 species
CGAAAGGGCACUCUAAUGAGACUGCCGGUGACAAACCGGAGGAAGGUGGGAUGACGUCAAGUCCUCAUGGCCCUUAUGGGUAGGGCUUCACACGUCAUACAAUGGUCGGGACAGAGGGUCGCCAACCCGCGAGGGGGAGCCAAUCCCAGAAACCCGAUCGUAGUCCGGAUUGUAGUCUGCAACUCGACUACAUGAAGUCGGAAUCGCUAGUAAUCGUGGAUCAGCAUGUCACGGUGAAUACGUUCCCGGGUCUU